rnacentral:rRNA from 1 species
CAGCAGCCACGGGAAUACAGAGGGUGCGAGCGUUAAUCGGAUUUACUGGGCGUAAAGCGUGCGUAGGCGGCUUCUUAAGUCGGAUGUGAAAUCCCUGAGCUUAACUUAGGAAUUGCAUUCGAUACUGGGAAGCUAGAGUAUGGGAGAGGAUGGUAGAAUUCCAGGUGUAGCGGUGAAAUGAGUAGAGAUCUGGAGGAAUACCGAUGGCGAAGGCAGCCAUCUGGCCUAAUACUGACGCUGAGGUACGAAAGCAUGGGGAGCAAACAGGAUUAGAUACCCCGGUAGUCCCUGUCUCUUAUAC